rnacentral:rRNA from 1 species
UACGUAGGUGGCAAGCGUUAUCCGGAUUUAUUGGGUGUAAAGGGCGUGUAGGCGGGAAUGCAAGUCAGAUGUGAAAACUCAGGGCUCAACCCUGAGCCUGCAUUUGAAACUGUAUUUCUUGAGUGCUGGAGAGGCAAUCGGAAUUCCGUGUGUAGCGGUGAAAUGCGUAGAUAUACGGAGGAACACCAGUGGCGAAGGCGGAUUGCUGGACAGUAACUGACGUUGAGGCUCGAGAGCGUGGGGAGCAAACAGG